AGCGAACGCUGACGGCAGGCUUAACACAUGCAAGUCGAGCGGGCCCUUCGGGGUCAGCGGCGGACGGGUGAGUAACGCGUGGGAACGUGCCCUCUGGUCUGGAAUAACCCUGGGAAACUAGGGCUAAUACCGGAUACGCCCUUUUGGGGAAAGGCUUGCCGCCGGAGGAUCGGCCCGCGUCUGAUUAGCUAGUUGGUGGGGUAACGGCCUACCAAGGCGACGAUCAGUAGCUGGUCUGAGAGGACGAUCAGCCACACUGGGACUGAGACACGGCCCAGACUCCUACGGGAGGCAGCAGUGGGGAAUAUUGGACAAUGGGCGCAAGCCUGAUCCAGCCAUGCCGCGUGAGUGAUGAAGGCCUUAGGGUUGUAAAGCUCUUUUAUCCGGGACGAUAAUGACGGUACCGGAGGAAUAAGCCCCGGCUAACUUCGUGCCAGCCGCCGCCGUAA
rnacentral:rRNA from 1 species